GAUGAACGCUAGCUACAGGCUUAACACAUGCAAGUCGCGGGGCAGCAUGUUACUGGCUUGCCAGUAAUGAUGGCGACCGGCGCACGGGUGAGUAUCGCGUAUCCAACCUUCCCAUAUCCACGGGAUAGCCUGCCGAAAGGCAGAUUAAUACCGUAUGUUGUCGCACGCUGGCAUCAAAAUGCGACGAAAGGCUUAGCGGAUAUGGAUGGGGAUGCGUCCGAUUAGCUUGACGGCGGGGUAACGGCCCACCGUGGCGACGAUCGGUAGGGGUUCUGAGAGGAAGGUCCCCCACAUUGGAACUGAGACACGGUCCAA
rnacentral:rRNA from 1 species